GUGGUGUUAUAAGUGCAGUUGCUCACUGUUUGCCUGUGCAGGGCCUUGUGUGUUUAAUUGUAUGAAAGCUGAUUUUUGCAGCCAGUGAGUGUAUGAUGCUCCUGCCAAAGUACACUUAUGGAACUGUUCACCUCUAUGUGCUUACAGAGUUGCCUGACAGAAACAAAUGGAUUUGGAGAUCUCAUUCCCUUAGGUGGGAACUGAAGAACACAAAGAUGUCAG